rnacentral:rRNA from 1 species
UACGUAGGGGGCAAGCGUUGUCCGGAAUCAUUGGGCGUAAAGCGCGUGUAGGCGGCUCGAUAAGUCUGCUGUGAAAGUCGGGGGCUCAACCCUCGGAUGCCGGUGGAUACUGUCGGGCUAGAGUCCGGAAGAGGCGAGUGGAAUUCCUGGUGUAGCGGUGAAAUGCGCAGAUAUCAGGAGGAACACCAAUGGCGAAGGCAGCUCGCUGGGACGGUACUGACGCUGAGACACGAAAGCGUGGGUAGCAAACAGG